ACUCAAAGGAAUUGACGGGGACCUGCACAACCAGUGGAGCAUGUGGUUUAAUUCGAGACGAACCGAAGAACCUCACCUAGAUUUGACAUAAUACCGUUUUAGUUUUUCAGAAAUGAAGAAUGAUCCCUUAAUUGUGGAUGGUACUACAGGUGCUGCAUGGCUGUCGUCAGCUCGUGCCGUAGGGUGUUUCCUUCAGUGGAGUAACGAGCGCAACCCCUAUCGUAUGUUGAAUAUUCAUACGAGACUGCUGUCCUUUGGACAGAGGAAGGUGGGGACGACGUCAAGUCAGCAUGGCCUUUAUAUCUAGGGCUACACACAUUCUACAAUGGAGCCGACAAUGGGUUGCCAAGCCGUAAGGCGGAGCUAAUCCCAUCAAACGGCUUCUCAGUUGGGAUUGAGGGCUGCAACUCGCCCUCAUGAACGCGGAAUUGGUAGUAAUCGCGGAUCAGCUAGGCCGCGGUGAAUACGUUCUCAGGUCUUGUACACACCGCCCGU
rnacentral:rRNA from 1 species